rnacentral:tRNA from 1 species
GCGGGUGUAGCUCAAAGGUAGAGUUCCAGCCUUCCAAGCUGGCCGUGAGGGUUCGAUUCCCUUCACCCGCU